GUGGCAUGGUAGAAGGAUCAUCAUGGAAUGCAUUUUUUGAAGCAAGAAUACCAUAAACACAACCAACAUUUUUGCAAACAUGCAAAGACUUCAAUAAAGAAUGGUAAUGAUAAGAAAAAUCUAGCUUAUCAUACAGGCAUUCGAUAAGAAAGAUAAUGAUAGAAAAAAAAUUUGCAAAAUUUCAAUGACAUGCCCUCUUUUUUUCCAAUAUUCCAGUGUUACCCC
rnacentral:lncRNA from 1 species